ACCUGCAUCAUAUACACCACACACGAGGACACCGGACACAAUUAACAAAAGGGACGGACGGACGGCGCCCGGCCUCUUUUGUUUUCUAUCCGUGCGCAUACACCCUACAAUAUCGCGAUCGCCGAUCAACAUACUUAUAUUUGGAACGAUGGGUUGGUGGUUUUACCCAGAACAAUAAUGAAAGUUUUAAUCAGCUGAUAUGGAAAAUAACUCCAAAAAUUAUUCCAGCUGGCUCAAAAAUUGUGGAAAUAGCUGCAAACAUUACAGCCGGGUCUUUAAUGAAGAGGACGCAGAGCGCAUCUCAAUUUCGGACGCAAGAGCGUAAGGGUCGACGCUCGAGUGGAGGAUGGCUCGUAGACAACAACAAUUAAACGUUUUGGAGGCAAACGACGAAGCAGGGGUUCCUCUUAUGGUGCUGGAAUAGAUGACACGAUAUAAUUUUGACCAAAGAUAUCUUGCUCACCGCCAGGCACUUUUUUUGGACGUCUCUCCGCAGAUCAUCUACAGGAGCUAGGGGAUCCAAUAUUUUUU